GACGAACGCUGGCGGCGUGCUUAACACAUGCAAGUCGAACGGAAAGGCCCUGCUUUUGCGGGGUGCUCGAGUGGCGAACGGGUGAGUAACACGUGAGUAACCUGCCCUUGACUUUGGGAUAACUUCAGGAAACUGGGGCUAAUACCGGAUAGGAGCUCCUGCUGCAUGGUGGGGGUUGGAAAGUUUCGGCGGUUGGGGAUGGACUCGCGGCUUAUCAGCUUGUUGGUGGGGUAGUGGCUUACCAAGGCUUUGACGGGUAGCCGGCCUGAGAGGGUGACCGGCCACAUUGGGACUGAGAUACGACCCAGACUCCUACGGGAGGCAGCAGUGGGGAAUAUUGCACAAUGGGCGGAAGCCUGAUGCAGCAACGCCGCGUGCGGGAUGACGGCCUUCGGGUUGUAAACCGCUUUCGCCUGCGACGAAGCGUGAGUGACGGUAAUGGGUAAAGAAGCACCGGCUAACUACGUG
rnacentral:rRNA from 1 species